GACGAACGCUGGCGGCGUGCUUAACACAUGCAAGUCGAACGGAAAGGCCCUGCUUUUGUGGGGUACUCGAGUGGCGAACGGGUGAGUAACACGUGAGUAACCUGCCCUUGACUUUGGGAUAACUUCAGGAAACUGGGGCUAAUACCGGAUAGGAGCUCCUGCUGCAUGGUGGGGGUUGGAAAGUUUCGGCGGUUGGGGAUGGACUCGCGGCUUAUCAGCUUGUUGGUGGGGUAGUGGCUUACCAAGGCUUUGACGGGUAGCCGGCCUGAGAGGGUGACCGGCCACAUUGGGACUGAGAUACGGCCCAGAGUCCUACGGGAGGCAGCAGUGGGGAAUAUUGCACAAUGGGCGGAAGCCUGAUGCAGCAACGCCGCGUGCGGGAUGACGGCCUUCGGGUUGUAAACCGCUUUCGCCUGUGACGAAGCGUGAGUGACGGUAAUGGGUAAAGAAGCACCGGCUAACUACGUG
rnacentral:rRNA from 1 species